UACGGAGGGUGCAAGCGUUAAUCGGAAUUACUGGGCGUAAAGCGUGCGCAGGCGGUUUGUUAAGUCUGUUGUGAAAUCCCCGAGCUCAACUUGGGAAUUGCAAUGGAUACUGGCAGGCUGGAGUAUGGUAGAGGAAGGUGGAAUUCCCGGUGUAGCAGUGAAAUGCGUAGAGAUCGGGAGGAACACCAGUGGCGAAGGCGGGUCUCUGGGCAGUAACUGACGCUGAGGAGCGAAAGCGUGGGGAGCGAACAGG
rnacentral:rRNA from 1 species